GUCUCUGACUGUGUGUGUGUGUGUCUGACUGUGUGUGUGUCUGACUGUGUGUGUUUGUGUGUCAGACACACACACACACACAGUCAGACACACACACAGUCAGACACACACACAGUCA
rnacentral:miRNA from 1 species